GUUACAAGAGGCUUAGUAUCAGACAGGUCCUGGCUGCGUGGCGGCGUAGAGGGCGAGGGGAGUCUCGGGAAGUUUUUGUUUAUCCCUGGGAGAUGUCCGAAGUCGCUGGAAUUUCCCGGGUGAAGUCACCAGGAGGAAGGUUUCAUCUCGUACAGUUUUAGGGCACACUUCUCGCUACUUACCAGCCUCUCGUAAAACUGAAAAAACGUAAGGAUAGUCGAGUUCUCCCGGACAAGAUGGUUCAUGGCGAUGGGGUGCCUGGGCAACCUGCACAUGACCUGAUUGGAGAGUGAAAAUUAGUCAACAGCUGCUGUCAUUCAUCUGAUGGUGUAUGCAUGCAUGGCAGUGACAGCUGACCUGGCAGAGGACAAGGAGCUUGUUCAUGCAAUCAAGACAUUUUAUUUGUAAUUUGGUGUUGUGUUUAUUAAUUGUUCUUUAUAAAUUAAGACAGGAUUUGUUAUGUUGCUAUUGGAUAAAAUAUGAAAUAUAAUGUUUAAUAAAUUUUGUUGUUGAAUUUGUA